UCGUGGAGUGAUUUGUCUGGUUAAUUCCGAUAACGAACGAGACCUUGAUCCAAUACUACCUGGCUUGAUCUUUUGAUCAAGGGUACAUCCUUUCGGGGAUCCAGGUUCUUUUGGAGACUAUUUGGCUUGAAGCCAAAGGAAGUUUGAGGCAAUAACA
rnacentral:rRNA from 1 species